rnacentral:rRNA from 1 species
UUGAUCCUGGCUCAGAAUCAACGCUGGCGGCGUGCCUCAGACAUGCAAGUCGAACGAUUAAAGCUCUCUUCGGAGAGUGUAUAGAGUGGCGCACGGGUGUGUAACACGUAAGUAAUCUACCCUCGAGUGGGGAAUAACAUCGGGAAACCUAUGCUAAUACCGCAUAAUGCAGCGGCACCGCAAGGUGACAGUUGUUAAAUAUUUAUCGCUUGAGGAGGAGCUUGCGGCAGAUUAGCUAGUUGGUAAGGUUAUGGCUUACCAAGGCUACGAUCUGUAACCGGUCUAAGAGGACGGUCGGUUACACUGACACUGAAUAACGGGUCAGACUCCUACGGGAGGCAGCAGUCGGUAAUUUUGGGCAAUGGGCGAAAGCCUGACCCAGCAACGCCGCGUGAAGGAUGAAGUAUUUCGGUAUGUAAACUUCGAAAGAAUAGGAAGAAUAAAUGACGUUACUAUUUAUAAGGUCCGGCUAACUACGUGCCAGCAGCCGCGGUAAUAAUU